GGAUGUAAAUGAAGAUUUCAUUCCUUCUGCACUAUUGUCCUUUUGGGCUGGACCAUUCUUUGUUGUGUGGGUCUGUCCUAUGCAUAAUGGGAUAUUUAGCAGCAUCCCUGGCCUCUACCAUUAUAUGCAGUAGCAAUUGCCCCCUCCUUUACACUUGUGACAAUCAAAAAUCUUUCUGGAUACUGUAUCUUUCUAAAUGCUAUAAUGCUAAAUAUCCCCUAGAAGCAUGAUAUGCUUUGGCUGUGUCCCCACCCAAAUCUCAUCUUGAAUUGUAGCUCCCAUAUCCUCACUUGUUGUGGGUAGUUACUGAAUCUUGGGGGUGGGUUUUUCCCAUGCCAUUCUCAUGAUAGUGAGUAAGUCUCACAAGAUCUGAUGGCUUUAUAAAGAGCAGUUCCCCUGCACAUAGUCUCUUGCCUGCUGCCAUGUAAGACGUGCCUUUUGCCUUCUGCCAUGAUUGUGAGGCCUCCCCAGCCAUGUGGAACUCGUGAACAACCCCAGAAGGAAAAAGAGUGCUGUCGUUAAAGGUAUCUGGCAUCAUGGACCCAACCAUCACCAGGAGUUUCUCACUUCAUCUCUGCUUUAUUGUAGUAAAAUUUGCAUACAAUAAUGGCAUGCAUUUAAAGUGCACAAUGUGAUAAAUUUUGACAUAUGUAUACAUCCAUGAAGCCGGCACCACAAUCAAGAUAAUGAACAUCUCGCUUACCCCACAAGUUUCCUGUGCCCUCUCACUCCUCUGUAUUCUUCCAUCCUCAGGAUUUCAUCAAACGGUCUGCUGCACUGUGCUGGAAUUUUGAACUCCCCAGCGUAGUAAACAACAUCUUCUCAAGAGUAUACAAGUAAUCAGAUAGAGAAAACACCCAUUACAGAGCUGUGGAGCCCUUAUGAUAUAGUGCUGUGCUGCAACAAAGUAGACAGAAGAGUAUUUGUUAAAUAAUAAAAGACAGAGUCUCACUCUAUUGCCCAGGCUGGAAUGCAGUGGCAUGAUCUCGGUUCACUGCAACCUCUGUCUCCUGAGUUCAAGCAAUUCUCAUGCCUCAGCCUCCUGAGUAGCUGGGAUUACAGUUUUCCAAUAAUAACAUAGAGAAAAGGAAGAAUUUGAGAGUUUCUCAGAAGAUUAGGCAAUUCCUUGAAGAAUCUGAGAACAUAGAAGCUCCCCUGCCUACUUUCCAUUAUUGAAAUCAGUGAUGCAUUGAUUUCUUUGUGUGGGCUUUUGAAAGAUCGUUAGAAACCAACCUGAGGAUCAUAAGAUUCUAGUGGACACAGGAGCAAUGAGUGGCAAUACAGUGCAUUCUAAUGCAACCUACUUUAAAAGGUAAACAGAUAAAAGAAAAUAGAGAAGACUGAAAAUGCAGAAAAUUCAACCAUGCAGCCCCAUUCCAAAUGAAAUAUCUCUUCCUCUUUAAUUCUUCUGUUCUAGCAGAGAAGGGGAGAUGAGCUGUGACUCCAUGAUAAUGCUUAACAAAAUUGUGUUAGAUUGGUGCAAAAGUAAUUGCAGUUUUUGCCGUUUAAAAGUAAUUGCAAUGUGAUCUCCUAGAAUUUUUAUAGUUUCAGGUCUUAGAUUUAAGUCCUUAAUCCAUCUUGAGCUGAUUUUUUGUAUAGGGCUGGAUGUUGGCUUAGGCAAGGAUUUCAUGACCAACAACCUGAAAGGAAAUGCAAUAAAAACAGAGAUCAAUAGCUGGAACCUAGUUAAACUAAAGAGCUUUUGCAUGGCAAAAGGAAGAGUCAGCAGAGUAAACAGAUAACCAACAGAGUGGGAGAAAAUCUUCAUAAUCUGUACAUCUGACAAAGUACUAAUAUCCAUAAUCUACAAUGAACUCAAACAAAUCAGUAAGAAAAAAAUAAUUCCAUCAAAAAGUGGCUAAGGAUAUGAAUAGGCAGUUCUCAAAAGAAGAUAUACGAAUGGCCAACAAACAUAGGAAAAAACGCUCAAUGUCACAAAUGAUCAGGGAAAUGCAAAUCAAAACCAUAAUGCGAUACCACCUCACUCCUGCAAGAAUGGCCAUAAUUAAAAAAAAUAAAAAAACAAUAGAUGUUAGCGUGGAUGCAGUGAACAGGGAACACUUCUACACUGCUGGUGGGAAUGUAAACUAGUACAGCCACUAUGGAAAACAGCGUGGAGAUUCCUUGAAGAAUUAAAAGUAGAACUACCAUUUGAUCCAGCAAUCCCACUACUGGGUAUCUACCCAGAGGAAAAGAAGUCACUAUUCAAAAAAGAUACUUGCACAUUCGUUUAUAGUGGCACAAUUCAAAAUAGCAAAAUCGUGGAGCCAACCCAAAUGUCCAUCAAUCAACAAGUGGAUAGCGGGGCGCGGUGGCUCACACUUGUAAUCCCAGCACUUUGGGAGGCCGAGGCGGGCGGAUCAUGAGGUCAGGAGGUCAAGACCACGGUGAAACCCCGUCUCUACCAAAAAUACAAAAAAUUAGCCGGGCAUGGUGGUGGGUGCCUGUAGUCCCAGCUACUUGGAGAGGCUGAGGCAGGAGAAUGGCGUGAACCCGGGAGGCGGAGCUUGCAGUGAGCCGAGAUAGCGCCACUGCACUCCAGCCUGGGCGACAGAGCGAGACUCCAUCUCAAAAAAAAAAAAAAAAAAAACAAGUGGAUAAAGAAACUGUGGUAUGUAUAUAUAAUGGAAUACUAUGCAGCCAUAAAAAGGAAUGAAUUAACAGCAUUUGCAGUGACCUGAAUGAGAUGGGAGACUUAUUCUAAGUAAAGUAACUCAGGAAUGGAAAACCAAACAUCACAUGUUCUCACAGAUUUAUGGGAACUAAGUUAUGAGGACUCAAAGGCGUAAGAAUGAUACAAUGGUCUUUGGGCACUUAGGGGGAAGGGUGAGAGGUGGGUGAGGUAUAAAAGACUACAAAUAUGUUGCAGUGUAUACUGCUCAGGUGAUGGGUGCAUCAAUAUCUCACAAAUCAUCCCUAAAGAACUUACUCAUGUAACCAAAUACCACCUAUGCCUCAAUAACUUAUGGGGAAAAAAGUAAUUGCAAAAAAUGCAAUUACAUUUGUAUGAACCAAAGGCCUACUUUGGAGAGUCAGAGGAAUUCUUAACCAUAAUUCAAGCAACACAUAUGGUAUGUGCCUUCUCUUUGAUGGAACAGUGAAUAUACAGGCUACUAGCCUGUCCUGAGUGUUUCAGCCAAACCACAUUCUUUUAAAAGUCACAGUUUUAAAUGACAAUAUCCCAAUGAAAAUACAAAUUAAAAAAUGCAUUGGCAUAUCUAUAUUCCCUCCCAAAAUGAUACACAUUUGUAAUAUAUAAAGAACUCUUAAAAGUCAAUGAGAAAAAAAAAGCAAUAGCUCAGUAGAAAAAUGGGAAGAAGACUUGGACACUUUGGAAAAGAGAAUAUAUUAAAAUAGUCAAUAAACAGAAAUAAAGGGUGCUCAACUUUAUGACUCAUCUGAGAUAUGUAGAUUAAAACCACAAUGCAAUAUAAUACCACCCCUACCAGAAUAACUAAAACGAGUAAGUUGGAAAAUACUCAGUGCUGAUGAAAACGUGGGGUAAUUGGUACUCUUAUACAUCAUGCUAGGAACAUCCACUUAGGAAAACAACUUGGCAGUGUCUAAUAAAGUACAGUAUAUGCAUUCCCUAUAACCCAGAAUUUUUACUCUCAGGUGUACGCCCAACAGAAAUGCACGUAUAUGUUCACCAGAAAUCAUGUUCCAGAAUGUUCAUGGUAUCACUAGUCAUGAGACACAAAAACUGGAAAUGUUCAUCAACAAUGAGUAGGAUAAAUAAGUUGCGUUAAUAUUCACACAGUUGAAAAUUAUACAGCAGAAAGAAUAAAUAAUCUAAAUCUCCACACAACGGCAUGAAGAAAUCUCAUGAGUGGAAUGUUAGAUCAUAGCCUAAAUAAACUUACCUGGAGCAGGUGCCACUGAAGCCAUAAACUGGUAGGAUGAAUUGCUGGAGGCUGACUAUGGACUAGCUCGAGAGUAAAACAUUUGGGGAGGCCCAUUCUGAAGGAGGUGCCUCACACUUUCUUGGAUUUUAUCUUCAGGAAGCCCACCAGAUUUUGAUGGUGAAGAUCUUAGAAAACAUCUCUCAUAUCUUGGUCAAUUGGGGGAAAGUACCAUUUUGAAAUAAUCCUAGAGCAUUCUCCAUAGCCAAGGUUUACUACUCAAGGGAAACAACUUUACCAGAGCCUUAUUUGACCAUGGAGAAGGGCAGUUAGCCCCCAGUGUUCCUCUCUAGCUUUCUUGUAUUACUUAGUGGAAGGAAAAAAAAGCUAAGAAACACUUCUGAAGUCCAAUUCAGGGACUUGAGCCCACUAAAAGACUGUAAUAUACUUACCUCCUCCACAUCUUACCAACACAACACAGCUCCAGAAUAAUCACAAUGGGUUGCAAUGGAAAGAGCUGCAAAACACAGACUCUAUUUAAGAAGGAAUUCUUAGGGAAAUCCAAUAUGGAGAAAACAAAGGCACUGAGGAAACUAAAGUCUCUGGCAUCUAUAGCUAUGGAAAACAUGAAGCACAACCCAUUUGCUAGACAGAUUGACAUAAAACCUCAUACUAAAGACCUAUUUUCCUCAGUUGUCAUUACCUGAUACAUCAUGUUUGACUUUUAACAAAAAAUCAUAAGGCUAUACAAAAAGAAAAGGAAAAACACAGUCAGAAGAGACAAAGUAAGCAUCUGAACUAGAAUUUGAUAUAAAACAAAGUUUGGAAUAAUCAAAUAGAUAAUUAAACAUAACUAUGAUUAGUUAUAUUAAGGACUGCAAUAGAAAAAGUAUAAGCAUACAAGAGCAGAUGAAUAAUAUAAACAGAAUAAUGAAAACUGUAAGAAGGAAUCAGAAGAAAAUGACAGAAAUGAAAAACCCUGCAAUAGAAAUGAAGAAUGCCUUUGAUAAGCUCAUUACUAAACUGAACAUAAACAAGAAAAAAAAAUCAAUGAAUUUAAAGAUAUAUCAAAGGAGACAUUGCAAAUUGAAAUACUAAGAGAAAAAGGACUACAACCUCCAUUCCAAUAUCCAAGAACAAUUACAAAAAUAUAACAUAUGCGUAAUUGAAGUACUACAGGAAGAAGAAAGAAAGGAGCAGAGGAAGUGCAGAGGAAGUACAGUAGUUCCCUCUUAUCCAUGGUGGAUACAUUCAAAGACUCCCAGUGGAUGCCUGAAAAUGCAGAUAGUACCAAACCCUACGUAUACAGUGUAUGUUUUUUCCUAUAUGUACAUAUCUUUGAUAAGGUUUAACUUAUAAAUUAGGCAUAAGAAGAUAUUAACAAUAUAAUAAAAUAGAAAAAUUAUAACAAUACUCAGAACCAAGCACAACUGAAAACUUGUGAAUUGUUUAUUUCUAGAAUUUUUCACUAAGUACUUUCAGACCACAGUGACUCACGGGUAACUGAAAGUGUGGAAAGCAAAACUAUGGAUAAGGAGGAACUAUUGUAUUUGAAGUAAUCGUAUCCAAGAAGUUCCCAAAAUUAAUGAUAGACACCAAGCCACAAACCCAGGAAUCUUAGAGAACACCAACAAGAAUAAAAACCAAAAAUCUACACCUAAGCAUUUCAUGGGAGAAAACCCAAGACAAACAAUUUUGAAAGAAGCCACAGUGGCAAGGGAGUGAAUAAGUGUAGAGGGGCAAGGCUAAGAAUUAUUUUAAACUUUUUUUGUCAGAAACCAUACAACCAAGUAGAGAAUGAAGUAAAAUAUUUAAAGAAAUAAAAGAAAAAAAUCCCACUAACCUAGUAUUCUAUAUCCAUUGAAAUUAUCAUUUAAAAUGAAGGAGAGGCUGGGCAUGGUGGCUUAUGCCUGUAAUCCCAACACUUUGCAAAGCCAAGGCACACGGAUUCCUUGAGCUCAGGAGUUUAAAACCAGUCUGGGAAACAUGGUGAAACCUCAUCUCUACAAAAAAUACAAAAAAUUCUCUAGGUGUGGUGGCACAUGCCCAUAGUUCCAGCUACUCGGGGUGGUGGGAGGGUCUGUGUUGGGGGACAGUGUGGGGUGGAAGGGAGCUGAAAUGAGAUAAUCACUUGAGACCAGGAAGUCAAGGCUGUACUGGGCCUUGACUGGGCCACUGCACUCCAGCCUGGGUGACAGAAUGAGACCCUGUCUCAAAAAAAAAAAAAGGGAAAUUAUCAGGGAUGAAGAUGGACAUUAAAUAAUGAGAAAGGGGCAAUUAUCCAAAAAACAUAAUAAUUCUUAAGUUAUGCAGGUAACACAGCAUCUAAAUACAUGAGACAAAAAUUUAUAAAACUGCAAGAAGAAAUAAUCAAAUUUAAUAUUAUUUAAUAUCAUUUUUGGAGAUCUCAAUAUCCCUAUAUUAAUAACAGCUACUUUCAACAAGCAGAAAUCAGGAAAAUAUUCAACUGAAUAGCACUAACAGUGAACAGGAUCUAACUGUUCAAGUAACAGCAGAAUAAUCAAGUAACAGCAGAAUACAUAUUCCUCUCAAGUUUAUAUGGGACUUUAUGCAAAAUAGACCACAUCCUGGGGCUGAAAAAGAUAACCUCACAACUUUAAAAGAAUAGAAGGCUUACUGCAUGUGUUCUUAGACUAUAAUGAAAUUUAACUAGAAAUCAGUACCAGAAAAAAACUCAAAAAUCCCCAAAUAGUUUGAGAUUAAAUAACACAGAGGUCAAAGAAGAAGUCUCAAAGGAAAUUUAAAAAUAUUUCGAAUGAAAGAAAGUGAUAUGUACAUCAAAAUUUAUGGGAUGCUCAGGAAGAAUACCUAGUGGAUGCUUGGCUUCAUACCUAGGUGAUGGGUUGAUCUGUGCAGCAAAGCACCAUGGCACACGUUUACCUAUGUAACAAACCUGCACAUCCUGCACCUGUACCCUGGAACUUAAAAUAAAAGUUGAUUAAAAAAGAAAGAGAAA